UUGUUUGAUAGGUAAGGCUCCUGCAGGGAUACGGACUGCUGCCGCAAAAUGGUGGAGACACCAUGCGCCGGUUUGAACAGGAUGCGUCGUAUACAAGGCGCGUCAUAACGCAGUUACAUCGCCCUGCAGAGUUAAAGCUUGAGCGAACG
rnacentral:sRNA from 1 species